AUCAGUUUUAUCGCUCUCGGGAAGAUAUCAUAAUUGUGAUAUCUUCCCAAGAGCGAUAAAACUGAU